CAGUAGCCGCGGGAAUACGUAGGGUGCGAGCGUUAAUCGGAAUUACUGGGCGUAAAGCGUGCGCAGGCGGUUCGUUAAGACAGAUGUGAAAUCCCCGGGCUUAACCUGGGAACUGCAUUUGUGACUGGCGAGCUAGAGUAUGGCAGAGGGGGGUAGAAUUCCACGUGUAGCAGUGAAAUGCGUAGAGAUGUGGAGGAAUACCGAUGGCGAAGGCAGCCCCCUGGGCCAAUACUGACGCUCAUGCACGAAAGCGUGGGGAGCAAGCAGGAUUAGAUACCCCGGUAGUCCCUGUCUCUUAUAC
rnacentral:rRNA from 1 species